GGAAGCAGGGGGGACCACCCUCCAAGGCGAAAUACUGAUAUGGACCGAUAGCGCAGAGUACCGUGAGGGAACGGUGAAAAGAACCCCAGGUAGGGGAGUGAAAUAGAACCUGAAAUUUAUUGCUUACAAUUGAGUGGGAGCCUACGGGUGACCACGUACCUAUUGACGAAUGGGUCAGCGAGUUAUUAGUAGUAGCAAGGUUAAGGCAGUUAUAGCUGGAGCCGUAGCGAAAGCGAGUCUGAAUAGGGCGAUAGUUAUUAUUAAUAGACCCGAAGCGGUAUGAGCUAGACAUGGGCAGGUUGAAGGCAUAGGAAACUAUGCUGGAGGACCGAACGGGUUGGUGCUGCAAAACCUUCCGAUGACCUGUGUUUAGGAGUGAAAAGCUCAUCGAAUACCGUGAUAGCUGGUUCUCUCCGAAAUGCAUUUAGGUGCAGCCUGUAUUUUAAGGUCUUGAAGAGGUAGAGCUCUGGAAAGGCUAGGGGGGUCGAGAGAUCUUACCAAACCUUACUAAACUUCGAAUGCUUCAAGGAAUAAUACAGAGUGGGACUGCGGGAGCAAGUUUCGUAGUCAAAAGGAUAACAGUCCAGACUUCUGAUUAAGGUCCCUAAAGUAAUGCUAAGUGGAAAAAGAGGUGUCUUUACUUAUACAUCCAGGAGGUUUGCCUAGAAGCAGCAAUCCUUUAAAGAAAGCGUAACAGCUCACUGGACUAGCGAAGAUGCGCUGAAGAUGUAACGGGGCUAAGCAUUAUACCGAAAUCGAAGACCAGUGUAGUAAUACACUGUGUGGUAGGAGAGUGUUCUUACAGGAUGAAGCUACAUCGUGAGGUGUGGUCGACUAGUAAGAAGUAAAAAUGCUGACAUGAGUAACGCUUAUUGAUGAAAAUUCAAUAUAUCGAAACCCUAAGGAUUCCUACGCAACGUUCAUCGUCGUAGGGUUAGUCGGGACCUAAGGCUUAUCCAGAAGUGGAGAGUCGAUGGAUAACUGGUUAAUAUUCCAGUACUUAUAUAAAGAGUGAUGGAGUAACGCAUUGAGAUUUGUGAGAGCUUAUUAAGGAUUUAAGUCGAAAGAACAAGGUUUUUAUAGCAUUAGCUAUAAAGGUAGUUGCAGGAAAAUCCACAGCUAUUGAUACUGAGUUUGAUCGGGAUUCAAUUCCUUGGAAUUGGAAAUUCUCAUCGUUUUGGUGCCGAGAAAAACCUCUAAACUUAAUCUAUAUGUAACCCGUACCCAGAUCAGACACUUGUGGGGUGGUAGAGAAUACUAAGAUAAUCGAGAUAACUAAUGGGUAAGGAACUUGGCAAAUUAGCGGACGUACUUUCGAAAUAAGUCCUGUCCCGAGCAAUCGGGAUCGCAGCGAAAGAGAUGGGGGGAACUGUUUAUCAAAAACACAGCUCUCUGCUAACUCGUAAGAGGAUGUAUAGCGGGUGAUGCCUGUCCAAUGCCAGAAUGUUAUGCUCUCUUGUGCAAGCUCGAGGGUUAAGCACUGGUGAAUGACGGCCGUAACUAUGACGGUCCUAAGGUAGCGAAAUUCCUUGUCAGGUAAGUUCUGACGCGCAUGAAUGGCAUAAUCAUCCCCAUGCUGUCUUACCCUUAGACUCGGUGAAAUUACAUUCCCGGUAAAAAUGCCGGGUAGUCACAGUUAGACGGAAAGACCCUGUGAAGCUUUACUGUAGAUU
rnacentral:rRNA from 1 species